GUCCAGCAGGGCAGGAGGAGCGACAGGUGUUCUCCAUCUGCCACAAUCAGCCAGCUCAGGAACAGGUGGAAUGCAACCAAUCAAGCUUCAUCCAUUCUGCAAUAUAACCAGACGCCUCCCAUCUCUCAGUGCCGGAUCAUGAUACAGCUCUUCCGGACCCACCUGUUCCUGCCGUUAACACUGGACCCUGGUUAUCACCUCAGAGAAAAGGAAACACUCACCUGUGCCGACUCCCUCCUCCUGGCGUCCUUCCCCACUCACCUGUCGCUGCUUCACGCCAUCCAGCAUCAGGCCCAAAGCCCGCUGCUCCAAACCCUGGCUGCCACCGCUGUGAACCACUUCUGAACAUUCCUAGUAUAAUUCGUGAGUUUGUAGUCCUGUCAUAGUUAUAGCUCUCGUUAAGAGCACCGUUAUUAGAGAAAACCUCAUUCGUAGUUAUUUUCCUUGAACCUCGUAGAAGUUGUUUAGUGUCUAGUUUAGUACUUCAGAGAUUGCUUUUCUUGCCUAGCUGUUACCUACCACGCGUUAACAUAAUUAUUUAGUCGAGUUACUGCACCUCCCGGCCACUAGUAGCCGCAGUAGAUUCGGAGCCUAUUGCUCUCUAUUUCCGUUUCCUGUUGUAGUCCUAGUUUUUGUUUGUAGUCCUAAAACCUUGUAAAUAAAAACUGUUGCGUUCAAA